CAGAUGAUGACCAUGCCAUGUGUGAUAUCUGAGCCUGUCAAAAGCAAGUGUUUUAACGCUGACG
rnacentral:snoRNA from 1 species